UAGCAACUAUGAAUAUGCUUCUAGGAAAUGAAACUGCCCGAUCUACCCCAGGCAAUCAAAGAUCUGAAAAUGUAGCAUUCGGCCAGUCAUCCUGCUAUUCUAGGGACUAAUCAUCCGGUUCUACAGUAAUCAGUCAUCCAGCUAUUCUAUGGAAUAAUCAUCCAGUUCUACAGUAAUCAGUCAUCCAGCUAUUCUAGGGAAUAAUCAUCCAUAAUCAGUCAUCCCGCUAUUCUAGAGAUUAAUCAUCCAGCUCUACAGUAAUCAGUCAUCCAGUGGCCGAAUUCAAAGAAUUUGAGCGGCGGUUUAAAUUUAAGCCGCGGCUUAAACAUGAUAAUCCUGGGAAUAAUCAUCAUUUUCAAUUAAUCAAUUUCAAUAAUCAUCGAUUCCUUUUGUCUGGGAUGAAAUGAAACAUUUAUCAAUGCACAUUUCACAAUUAUCUAUAAAAAUCAUUAUUCAAGAUUUGAAAAAAAGGAACCAAAAGAUCUAUGUUUAUUUCAGUUAUAUAAUUAUUUUAAGAUUGAGUAUAAUUCAUUGAAAUUAUAUUUUUGUACAUGCUCCAUAGAUUUAUUUAAACCAAAGUCUCAAGAUUUAAAUACAUUUUGAUUUGUUAAAGGAAUUGAGUCUUUUCCACAAACUCUGAUUUUAUAAUCCCUAUAU
rnacentral:lncRNA from 1 species